rnacentral:rRNA from 1 species
UACGUAGGGGCCUAGCGUUGUCCGGAUUCAUUGGGCGUAAAGCGCUUUAAGGCGGUUCGGUAAGUCGGGUGUGAAACCUCCAGGCUCAACCUGGAGACGCCACUCGAUACUGCUGUGACUAGAAUUCGGUAGGGGAUCACGGAAUUCCUGGUGUAGCGGUGAAAUGCGCAGAUAUCAGGAGGAACACCGGUGGCGAAGGCGGUGAUCUGGGCCGACACUGACGCUGUAGAGCGAAAGCGUGGGGAGCGAACAGG